rnacentral:tmRNA from 1 species
GGGCCUGACCGGAAUUGACAGGAUGGCUGAUUAACAGGUAAGCAUGCCGGGCGUUGUGGAAAGUGCCCGUAAAAGAAAAUCCUCAACACAACAAACGGCGAAAAUAACUACGCUCUUGCUGCUUAAUCCCGACUGAGUCUGGAUUUGCCUCGUUCCGCAAAGUGCGGAAAGCAGGAUGUUCUGCAGAGCCCUGUCCGGCGGCUCCUGAUUAACAGAACACCGUAAUGCUGGAAUAAGAAUGGGAAAGCUUCGUGCCCGUUCCGACAAAUUUAGAAGCUAAGUGCGGUAUCGGCUGUUGAUGGCCAGUUCCGCGCCGACAACCAAUCAUUAAAUAAGCAUGUAGAAAGCCUGAUUGGUCCCAUGUCUGGACGAGAGUUCGAAUCUCUCCAGGUCCACCA